AGCGAACGCUGGCGGCAGGCCUAACACAUGCAAGUCGAACGAAGUCUUCGGACUUAGUGGCGGACGGGUGAGUAACACGUGGGAACGUACCUUUUGGUUCGGAACAACUCAGGGAAACUUGAGCUAAUACCGGAUGAGCCCUUAGGGGGAAAGAUUUAUCGCCGAAAGAGCGGCCCGCGUUAGAUUAGCUAGUUGGUGAGGUAAAGGCUCACCAAGGCUACUAUCUAUAGCUGGUCUGAGAGGAUGAUCAGCCACACUGGGACUGAAACACGGCCCAGACUCCUACGGGAGGCAGCAGUGGGGAAUCUUGCGCAAUGGGCGAAAGCCUGACGCAGCCAUGCCGCGUGAAUGAUGAAGGUCUUAGGAUUGUAAAAUUCUUUUACCAGGGACGAUAAUGACGGUACCUGGAGAAAAAGCCCCGGCUAACUUCGUGCCAGCCGCCGCGGUAAAAC
rnacentral:rRNA from 1 species